UCUCUGGUGGCUUAGAGGAUAAAGCGUCUGCUCAAAAUGCAGGAGACCUGGGUUCGAUCCCUGGGUCGGGAA
rnacentral:tRNA from 1 species